rnacentral:rRNA from 1 species
UACGGAGGAUCCAAGCGUUAUCCGGAAUCAUUGGGUUUAAAGGGUCCGUAGGCGGUUUUGUAAGUCAGUGGUGAAAGCCCAUCGCUCAACGGUGGAACGGCCAUUGAUACUGCAAGACUUGAAUUACUAGGAAGUAACUAGAAUAUGUAGUGUAGCGGUGAAAUGCUUAGAUAUUACAUGGAAUACCAAUUGCGAAGGCAGGUUACUAUCAAUAUAUUGACGCUGAUGGACGAAAGCGUGGGGAGCGAACAGG